rnacentral:rRNA from 1 species
UACAGAGGGUGCAAGCGUUAAUCGGAAUGACUGGGCGUAAAGGGUGCGUAGGGGGCUUUAUAAGUUAGUUGGGAAAUCCCCGGGCUUAACCUGGGAACUGCAGCUAAUACUGUAUCGCUAGAGUAGAGUAGAGGAAAGUAGAAUUUCCGGUGUAGCGGUGAAAUGCGUAGAUAUCGGAAGGAACAUCAGUGGCGAAAGCGACUUCCUGGACCAAUACUGACGCUCAUGUGCGAAAGCGUGGGGAGCAAACAGG